GAUGAACGCUGGCGGUCUGCUUAACACAUGCAAGUCGAACGGAAUCCUUAGGGAUUUAGUGGCGGACGGGUGAGUAACCCGUAAGAACCUGCCUCUAGGACGGGGACAACAGUUGGAAACGACUGCUAAACCAGGAUGAGCCGAAAGGGAAAAGAUUUAUCGCCUAGAGGGGGGCUUGCGUCUGAUUAGCUAGUUGGUAGGGUAAAGGCUGACCAAGGCGACGAGCAGUAGCUGGGCUGAGAGGAUGAUCAGCCACACUGGGACUGAGACACGGCCCAGACUCCUACGAGAGGCAGCAGUGGGGAAUUUUCCGCAAUGGGCGAAAGCCUGACGGAGCAAGACCGCGUGGGGGAGGAAGGUUCUUGGAUUGUCAACCCCUUUUCUCAGGGGAGAACGCAAUGACGGUACCUGAGGAAAAAGCAUCGGCCAACUCCGUGCCAGCAGCCGCCGUAAGAC
rnacentral:rRNA from 1 species